rnacentral:lncRNA from 1 species
GGUAAAUGUUGACACCAGAUUAGAAAUAUCAGUAGAAAAAUAAAAUUUUAGUUGCUUUCUCUCAUACAAAGAUUUGAUCUUAUUGUCUGUAGCAGUUGUUGAAAUAAUUUUAAUACAAAAGGGUAAGCUGAUUUGAAUUACAACCAGCAUACACAGUGUGCGCACAAGGGUGAAGAGCCUUCUAAUGUGGACAGUUAAUGGCACCAGUGCUUUUACAUUCAAUGAAACUAUUCCUUGGUGUAUUUUUAAAAAUUAGGCUUUAUAACAUAACAAAACUAUAAUGUAAACCAUAGCAAUUAGAAAAUAAAGUUGGAUCAAAGUUUUUAAAAGCUUGAAAGAUGAAUCAAUUUAAACACAUAAGAGGAAAUUUUAGAAGGUAAUUCUGUGCAUGAACAAAAUAUAUCUCACUGGCUCCAUGUUUCAUAAAAGGUUAGGAUCUUGUUGCUUUUUAAAAAAAUAGUAGAAGGCUGUGCUGAUGAUCCUAGAAUAAAGAUAUGUUUUGAUCCCAUGUUCUCCUUUAUUCUGGAAUUCAUUUCUGUACAUUUAAAAACAUUUCCAUGAAAGCUUAUUUUCCUCUCCACAGUGCCACAAUAAAGACAUGAAAGAUCAGCUUUGGUUGUACAUGAAAGGGAGGAAAAAACCCAAGAAAGAGGCACAACAUUGGUUUUAUCAGCUUUUUGAUUUAGAAGGAAUUAAACAAGAAAUUAUCAUUUGUUUUUAAGAAAUUCAGUUUUGAGGGGAAAAAUAAAAACAUAACAUACAAUAUCUGAAAGUGCUGUUCAAACCAAGCAUCAAUUUCUUUCCUCCCUAAAUAACUGCAUUUCUAAUAGUGGAAUAAAAGGAGUUCCAUUAUUUAUCUUGACAUAAAUAAAUGCUCUCUGAAAACUUAAUUCAAGCUAUACACAUUUCACAUAAAAUCUAUGUACAGCAUUCAUAACCACUCAAAAGAGAGCAUAUCACAUAUUGGGACUGGCCACAUGAACACUGAAUAUGCAGUAAUUUGAGGAAACAUAUGCUAUAUGCUGAUAAAAGAGCAGCUGAACCAAAUAGAUGAAAGACAGAAACUAGGAGGCCUUUCCAGAUGCCUUACUCUCUGUGUUUUGAUACAAAUAUAACUAAACCCCAGAACCAUAACAGUAAUUAUAUUUAGUGAUAUGUUUAUAUGUGUAUAUUUGUAAUAUUACAUAUCCCUUUGAAUAUAACAACUGUUAUGAAUAUAUCCUAUGGAACAACAGAAUCAAAAUAAUCUCUUACUACUCUGUUAAUUGAGUCCAAUAUUAUGCUGCAACAUAGAAAAAAUUUUUCAACUUGAACAAUUAUGAGUAUUUUUGCAAGUAGCAGUCUCCUGAAAUGGACUAAUGCACUCAACUAAAAAGCUCCUUCAGAAAAAAGCGUAAAGAUAAAAUAUUUUUAUGAUCUAAAGGAAAGCCUCAAGUAUACUGGGUCAACUCCCUAGGGUAGGAUUUAUGAGAAAUCAUGUCCAAGAGUCCCACAAUGGGCUGCAAUCUGCAUCACUGGACAGAACACCCGCAUCUUUGACAUCAAAGAUCCACUGAAGUAUUGGUAUAAAAAAAGAUUUUUAAUGCCACUAUUAUCUUAAUUCAGGUAGAAAUAAUUUUUAUUUGAAGGGUACCAGCAAUGAGCAGAGUAGUAAGAAAUAAGAUAGUCCAAUCUUAGAACAAAAUGAUUUUGAGAGUAAUGUGGGUGAAGUUUGUUCAACACAAAGUAGUAGCUUUUUUGUCUUAAGAUCUAAUAGCCCCUUCAACUUGUAAAGCCUAACUAGUGGUUUAUUGAUUACAUGAAGAAAACCUGGGAUUCAGUCUUGAUUCAAAAAUUUAAAGGCAAAACUUAGGCUCAGUUUAAAUUUAAACAUAAAACUCUACACUGUGACAUAGAUAUUAACUAUAUGAGACUAGGGGAAAAAAAAAUUAAAUACAUUCAGAAGCUUGAGAACCUUAACAGCCAAACAUAAGAAAAUGGCUUCUAUUCACUUUUAUUCAUGCCCAUCCCAAGGUCCACUGAAACUUUUCAAAGCUAAGGUCAAAUAUUACUUGAAUGGCAGCUAUUACAUGGCAACAUCUAAAGAUGAGAAGAAAAGCACUCACACAACUUCUAAAACACAAUUUCCAGAAGGUCCCUGCAAAAUCUAUAUUAUAUGAUACUUGGGAUGAUUCCCCCAAUUAAAUUUACAUUUGCUAUCUUUCAGUGAAUCUAAACAAAAGCCUAAGUGGUCUCAAGACAAAUUAUCAUUCUCUCUGUGCAACAAACAUAUAUUGGAUAGUUAUGUGGGAAGUGUGGGAAAAUUUAUCCACUGAAUAACACUGCCUACCACAAGAUUUCAAUAAUGGCUAUAAAUUGUGUGUGAAUUUAAAACUGUCAGAUUAGAAUACUAUUUGUUUUUACUUCUCUCAAGGAUAUGGCAUUUAUGAUUUGGUUAGGUGUUCUGCUCGUGAUACAUCAGUUUUCAUUCUGUGUGUAAUGCCUUCAUGAUUUUUCUGUAUAGUUCUCUUAUUAGUGUUAUC